AUUGAACGCUGGCGGCAGGCCUAACACAUGCAAGUCGAACGAGUGGCGGACGGGUGAGUAAUGUCUGGGAAACUGCCUGAUGGAGGGGGAUAACUACUGGAAACGGUAGCUAAUACCGCAUACCAUCGGAUGUGCCCAGAUGGGAUUAGCUAGUAGGUGGGGUAAAGGCUCACCUAGGCGACGAUCCCUAGCUGGUCUGAGAGGAUUACCAGCCACACUGGGACUGAGGCACGGUCCAGAAUCCUACGGGAGGCAGCAGGGGGGAAUAUUGGACAAUGGGCGCAAGCCUGAUGCAGACAUGCCGCGUGUAGGAAGAAGGCCUUCGGGUUUGAAAGUACUUUCAGCGGGGAGGCGUUACCCGCAGGAGAAGCCCCGGCCAACUCCGGGGCAGCAGCCGCGGUAAUUC
rnacentral:rRNA from 1 species